UUUUCCCUACGGGGGGCAGCAGUGAGGAAUAUUGGUCAAUGGGCGAGAGCCUGAACCAGCCAAGUCGCGUGAGGGAAGACGGCGCUACGGGUUGUAAUCCUCUUUUGUCAGGGAGCAAGAACGGAUACGUGUAUCCGAGCGAGAGUACCUGAAGAAAAAGCAUCGGCUAACUCCGUGCCAGCAGCCGCGGUAAUACGGAGGAUGCGAGCGUUAUCCGGAUUUAUUGGGUUUAAAGGGUGCGUAGGCGGACUACCAAGUCAGCGGUAAAAUUGCGGGGCUCAACCCCGUCGAGCCGUUGAAACUGG
rnacentral:rRNA from 1 species